rnacentral:lncRNA from 1 species
AACUCAUCUUUUGUUAAAUACUUUAUCUCAGACCAUUCUGAUCCUAUCUCUUACCUGCCUAUAAAUGACCUUCGCUGAUUUUGUUUUGUGUGUUAGAUACAACUUCUCAGCCUAAGAAUCUCCUAGGUACCAGCACACCUCUAGGUUAUCUUCUGGCACUUCUCACCUCUACACAUGCCUGGUAUGAGUUUCAUCAUCCAGAAACGUUCUUCGAUCUUGUUCAUCUUUCAAAGUCAUCCUUCAAAGCAGAACUGGCACCUCAGCCAGCCUCCAGCUUCUAGAUAGUGACUGCUCUCCCUUCCACCACCUCUGCUUCAUGUUACACAAGUAAACUGUCAUCUCCCCAUCUAAAUCUAAAACCGUUAAGGAACUAUGAAUGACUCGUUUCUAAACUCCUAGAACUUUGUAGAGAGCUUGGCACUUAGUAAAAUGUUGAAAGUAAUGAAUUAUUCAAGUUGAAAGUUGACUAGGUAAGGUACUGUGGAAAACUUCU